AGGUAAGCUACUAAGAGCGAAUGGUGGAUGCCUUGACUGGUAAAGGCGAUGAAGGACGUACUAGACUGCGAUAAGCUACGGGGAGCUGUCAAGAAGCUUUGAUCCGUAGAUUUCCGAAUGGGGCAACCCAAUGUAUAGAGAUAUACAUUACCUAUAUAGGAGCGAACGAGGGGAAUUGAAACAUCUUAGUACCCUCAGGAAAAGAAAUCAAUAGAGAUUGCGUCAGUAGCGGCGAGCGAAAGCGCAAGAGGGCAAACCCAGUGCUUGCACUGGGGGUUGUAGGACUGCAAUGUGCAAGAGCUGAGUUUAGCAGAACAUUCUGGAAAGUAUAGCCAUAGAGGGUGAUAGUCCCGUAUGCGAAAAACAAAGCUUAGCUAGCAGUAUCCUGAGUAGGGCGGGACACGAGGAAUCCUGUCUGAAUCCGGGUCGACCACGAUCCAACCCUAAAUACUAAUACCAGAUCGAUAGUGCACAAGUACCGUGAGGGAAAGGUGAAAAGAACUGAGGUGAUCAGAGUGAAAUAGAACCUGAAACCAUUUGCUUACAAUCAUUCAGAGCACUAUGUAGCAAUACAGUGUGAUGGACUGCCUUUUGCAUAAUGAGCCUGCGAGUUGUGGUGUCUGGCAAGGUUAAGCAAACGCGAAGCCGUAGCGAAAGCGAGUCUGAAUAGGGCGCUUAGUCAGAUGCUGCAGACCCGAAACGAAGUGAUCUAUCCAUGAGCAAGUUGAAGCUAGUGUAAGAACUAGUGGAGGACUGAACCCAUAGGCGUUGAAAAGCCCCGGGAUGACUUGUGGAUAGGGGUGAAAGGCCAAUCAAACUUCGUGAUAGCUGGUUCUCUCCGAAAUAUAUUUAGGUAUAGCGUUGUGUCGUAAUAUAAGGGGGUAGAGCACUGAAUGGGCUAGGGCAUACACCAAUGUACCAAACCCUAUCAAACUCCGAAUACCUUAUAUGUAAUCACAGCAGUCAGGCGGCGAGUGAUAAAAUCCGUCGUCAAGAGGGAAACAACCCAGACUACCAGCUAAGGUCCCUAAAUCUUACUUAAGUGGAAAACGAUGUGAAGUUACUUAAACAACCAGGAGGUUGGCUUAGAAGCAGCCAUCCUUUAAAGAAAGCGUAAUAGCUCACUGGUCUAGUGAUUUUGCGCGGAAAAUAUAACGGGGCUAAAGUAAGUACCGAAGCUGUAGACUUGCACACAACUUAGAUUAUUUAAGUUUAGAAUAUGAGAAACUAAGUUAUAUGUUUAGUUAUAUUUUUACUGAUUUUUAUAGAGUAAAGAUAGAAAUAAAACUUAAUAAAAUCAGUAAAAAUAUUCUUAGGCUAAAGUUAAGUAGUUUAAGUUGUGUGCAAGUGGUAGGAGAGCGUUCUAUUUGCGUCGAAGGUAUACCGGUAAGGAGUGCUGGAGCGAAUAGAAGUGAGCAUGCAGGCAUGAGUAGCGAUAAUUAAUGUGAGAAUCAUUAACGCCGUAAACCCAAGGUUUCCUACGCGAUGCUCG
rnacentral:rRNA from 1 species